AAACUGAAGAGUUUGAUCAUGGCUCAGAUUGAACGCUGGCGGCAGGCUUAACACAUGCAAGUCGAGCGGGGAAAAGUAGCUUGCUACUUUACCUAGCGGCGGACGGGUGAGUAAUGCUUAGGAAUCUGCCUAUUAGUGGGGGACAACAUCUCGAAAGGGAUGCUAAU
rnacentral:rRNA from 1 species